UGGCACUGUGGUGUCUCUUGAGCAGAAUGAAAAACAAGAGGGGGGGGAACAAGUGUGGAUCUGCACUGACCUAGGAAGGCAUCGCUAAAGGCUUCCUGGACUAAUCUGCCUGGAGGAGUCAGAUUUCAGUUGCUGGCCACAGCGUGGACACAGCACCAGCACCAUAGCUAGACCAAUCUCUGAGGCAUGGCUACACAAGAGCAAGUGAGCUGGUGGGCGUCAUCUACUGUGGGUGUUGACAGAAUUCAGACGAGAAGCUCCGUUGAACUGGGUCCCACAGACAUCCUGUGUGGCUGUUUUCUC